rnacentral:rRNA from 1 species
GGGGAGCUUGUACAGGUGCUGCAUGGCUGUCGUCAGCUCGUGUCGUGAGAUGUUCGGUUAAGUCCGCUAACGAGCGCAACCCUCGCUGUGUGUUACAAGUGUCACACGGAACUGCCGGGUCAUAAACCGGAGGAAGGUGGGGAUGACGUCAAGUCAGCAUGGCCUUUAUAUCCUGGGCUACACACACGCUACAAUGGGAAAGGACAAUAGGUAGCGAAACCGCGAGGUGGAGCCAAUCCAGCAAAAUUUCCCUCAGUUCAGAUUGCAGGCUGCAACUCGCCUGCAUGAAGUUGGAGUUGCUAGUAAACGCAGGUCAGCCAUACUGCGUUGAAUACGUUCCCGGGUCUU